rnacentral:miRNA from 1 species
AAGGGGUUCUGCCGUCGGUC